CACUUAGUAAUAGGAUUCAGGAAACUGAGAAGUGGGCUGAGACCAGGGAGGAGUGUUGUGUAAUAUUUACAAUUGUAUGGAACAGGUAAUAUUUACAGUAAUAUUAAAGCAA